GCACCCUCUUGCCUGUAUUCACCCAGCUGGGGAUCUGCCCAGCUGUGAUUUCUGAGCUGGGGAAACUUCAAGAGUGUUAAAACAAGGUUGGUCUAAGAUGGUGCAAUCACAAGAACACGGGCUGUGGUGCCAACCUGAGGCCACAGCACUGUGGUAUUCCCCUUGCCUGGCUCAUUCUCCUGCAGAGGAGGUGGCCACAUUCCAGGUCACCAGGCUUGUAGGACAACAGUGUUCAUCUGCACUUUGCCGCAGCCGCUGCCCCUGUUCGAAGCUGCCUGGCCUACAUCUAGCAUCUUCCCAGCCCUCAGCACAGGGUGACACUCUGACCUUCCCAAGUCUUAUUUCCUGGAACCAAAGAGUCUACAAUUCACAGGUGAGGAGUGGGUUACAACAGCUAGCACACAAGGAUGUUGUGAAAAGUCUUCAGGGCAAAGGAUUCUCUUAUAAGAACUUCAAACUUUCCCUUUCAAGAAGUCCCCCCUUAGGUCAGACCUCUAGCCUGCAUGCUGCAGCCAAAUCAGACCUCUAGGCCUCUCUUGUGCUCAGUGCAGAGGAGAAGGAUGGUCUGGUUUCCCAGGCUAUGAGCUAUCCCAGUGACCAGAGCACAAAAGAUGGGGAGAUGCGAGGGCAGUCCCUGGGCAUGCCAGCCUUCCAGCCCAAUACCUGAGGUCCUCCUGGUUCUUUGGACCCAGACCUUAGAACAAGAGUAGCCACUCCAAACCCAAAUGGAGUGAUCAUAAAUGCUUUGCAAGCAAAUCCUCACUGUAUCACUACCCCAACCCCACCUCAAGGCAGCCUCUGACUGCAAGUGCCACACAGCUGUUCCUCUAACAUGGCUUUUAUCUGUCACUUAUGGCUGAAGGAGUUAUGUUCCCCCACUGCCAAUUCAUGGCCCAUGAAGGUGCCACUGCAGAGGGUGUCUUUUUUGCUCUAUGUCAACUUCUAUCCACCCUUCAAGGCUCAGAUCAGAUGACACUUUCACUAAGAAGGCUUCUCUGACCCCUUCAGUCUACAUGGCUCUCUGAAGUCCUCUGGCUCUCCGAGUGAACAUGAAGUAGGUAGAAGGUUGGUUAGGGCCCAUCCUAGCCUCUCACUGUGUUCUCCUGUGAUGGCUGAAAUCUGGCCAGGGUGAGGUGACAGAGUGUGUUGAAGUCUCUUCGUGGGCCACAAAACAGAUCUGCUUUGCUGCCCUGUCGAGCUCAGCCACGAUUGCUUCUGGAGGGCUGGGAAAAAUAUUUGGACCUUGCUUUGAACUUGCCACAGGAUGCUCACAGGAUUUGAAGUUUAGACUGGGACAGAAGAGGACAGAGACAGCGACUGGGACAGAUUUGGUGUUGAAUCUGGAGGUCAAGUGCCAAGAGAAAGCUAUCUGGGAAACGCAGAGGUCUCAGUAAAGACUGGCAGCUACGCGUUGCACCUGCCUGCCUGGUUCUCUUUGCAUCUCUCUUUGCUCUUGCUUUUGUCUCUUGGUCUCUGGGCUGCUGUUUCUCUGUUUUCUGCUUAAGGCAGGCUCCCAAAAGCACCUUGAUGAAUAAUUGUCCUAUAGUAACCAGGUGAGUAUGUAGACACGGCUUUGCACAAAGAGUGUUCUGCCACCCUGUCCCCCCACACCCCUAUUAUAUAGAUGUAUCAGCUCAUGGUCAGGGCAAAAGACUGAUCUGCUGACUCUAGGUAUCCGUUUUCCAGGUCAUCACUGGCAAAUUCCUGCCAGUGUCAGCCACAAACUGAUCUUGAAAUGCCACCCUGCCACCAUGCCUUCACAUUCUGGAUUAUGUUUGUUACAGAGGUUAUUUUCUGUCUGGGAUUAUCUAUCUCACAAAUAAAAAAGAGAGAAUAACUCCCUCCUAGAAGAGGGAAACUGGGAGUGGGGGUGGGGUCCAAGACAGGAAAUGGCUGUGUCCCUCUUCAAGGGUGGCAGGGCUCCCUGCCAGGGGUGUCCUCUGACUUCUAGGUGGCCAACGGAAAGAAGCAACCACGUUAGGUCACCGUGCGGGGUGGUGGGACAGAGGGCAGGGCCUCAGCGUGGGUAAACCCAAGGUCGAAGUUCAGGAGAGGUGAGUUCGGGUCCAGACAGCCACAGUCUAUGGAGGACUCCCAUCCGAUCCAGGCACACCUCGCAUUUGCUUCCUGGCUGGACACACCUUGCCUGCCUCUCUCUCUCUCUCUCUCUCUCUCUCUCUCUCUCUCU